CACCGCACGGCCCCACCCUGCGCGCGCUGGGCCCGGGGGCCGUCAGAGCCGGGUGCGUUUGCGCAGCUGCCGCCCCCGCCUGCCGCCCGGCUUCUCAGCGCCGGGCCCCGCUGCUGGCCCGAGAAACGGCGGCGAAGCGGCCGGAGGGGACCGUGGUCUCGGCGGCCAGCAGACAGUUGUAAUACCCGCUCGAGAAUUCAGUGUUACGGAGAGCGCAAGGCCAACAAAUUCUGCCUCAAGUCCUGAGACUGUAGCCUUCUGGGCUACCUGUUGAAGAUGAUGGAGAAUGCAGUGUAAUGCUGUGUGCUGCCUGGGAAACAUUGCUCAACAUGCUGACAGACACCCUGCGAGGAAGUAAGGAAAGCAAGAAAUUAAAAAUGAAAUUAAACAGAUUUGAGAUCAAUCUUCACCUCCCCACCCCUAAACAACCUCUAAACAAUCCUCAGUCAUCCUGGAGAGCAAAGUUAAAUUCCCGCUGAACCAAUAAAAUAUUUUAGUAGAACAGCUGGAUGUAAUAGCACCAUGAAUCACUAUUUUACACUGCUAAGAGAACCACAGUUCAAUGUACCAUAUAACUGCUUCUUAAUUUUUUGUUACAGCAGGAGGGAUGACAGGAUUUCUCGUUUUCCAUUCCUCUGCCCUAAUUAUCAGGCUCUUCAGUAUGUACGAACAUCAACAGAUUAAGGAAAAUGCAGACGAAGCUCAAGUGAAUAGAAAUUUUAAAAAAAAGUUUUUUCUUGAGAAAUCCUCAAAAGAAAAACUAAGUGAAGCAAGAAAACACCCAAUCCACAUGUUUAAGAAAAAAAAAAGUUUUGCUGUGAGCAAAGAACCUAACAAAAUGAAUGUUUCUGUAAUUCAUUACUUUUUUAGGCAUCCCACAUAUUCCCUAUUAUAUCUUGAGUCUAGCAGCUUAGCCAUUAAAUCUGCUGUACAACAGAGUUGACGAAAAAGGAGACAAAAGUAUAUCAUGUAUCAGACAAGACAAGGUAAACAUAGGCCUAAGAUCAAAUAUAGCAUUUCCAAGGUCUUGAGAACAGAGUUACGAAAGCGGUCACUGGUGCAACUAACAAAGUGAGGUUGUGUUAAGGUUCUGGGGAAACAUCAAACAAAACAGAGACACAAAUGGCAUUGUGUGAUGAAGGUUAUUGCAGUUCAGAACUACAUAAAUACCUGUAGAUUUUCUAAUACUGAAAUCCUACCAUGAGAGAUUCAUGAAGACUUAACUGCAGAAGGUUUUUAAGGGGGGCGGGGGAGGAGGGUGUGAGUAAAAAAAAAAUAAUUAAAAAACCCCCACAACUCCAGCAGUCCAAACAACAUAUGUUUUAUAUACCCUAGCUUCUGUCAGGAAAGGCAGUUUCCCUGCACUGCCCCCCAACAUCCCUCACUACCAAAAAAGCCUUACCAUGAAUUUGGUGUCGCCUUUAGAGAGCAUAUCUGUGACAAAGUGGACUUUUUCCAGUUGUUCUACAACUUGACGUAGAAGUUUUGGCUAGAAACAGUGACAACAGAGAAGAAGUUAUUUCACAAAUAACAAGAAUAUCUUACCCAUUUAUCAGGCAACGAUCCACAUAAGUACGGGACAUCGCUAUAUAUAUUAUUGUACAUGAAACUUAACUUGGGGGUGGUGGUGUUAAAAUAAUACUGAGAAAAAGCUAAUAAAGUUACAGUUGUGCAACAUAAAAACAAAUUUCCACAAAAUCCCCAUGUCAGAUUGCUUUCGUUGGAAGUGAGAAAACUCUUUUCUUGGUCUGAGUUUUCAACUUUUA